GUAACUUUACGGAUCCUGAUGAUAAAACAGACAAUUUAUCAUCGGUACCCGCAGAGGUCAACGCGUACAGUUACUUGGAUUAUUAUAAUCGUCAAGCCAAAGUUGGGUCUUUUAUAAUCAGCCUCUCUGAAGAAUCACGGCUACAGGAAGAUAAAAUAUACUACUUUUUGCCAAGGUUAUUUAAUUACCACCUUCAGAAAACAAAAAUUACAUUUAAACUUAUUUUAAGGCUGUCGUUUAUCAUAGCUGGCAAAUAAAAACAUACCUUUUACUAAUAUAGUUCCCGGCUUUAUUUGCAGAUAUUAUGCUCCCAUUUCAUCCGACAAAAUUUCUUCGGAAACUCGUCAACUUUACGAAGAUUACAUAUUAUAAAGACAAAAACGAAAUAUCUAAAGUGUAUGUCGCAUAAUCGGGCAAAGCUGUAGUUAGCAAAAAACCAAUUUUCUCUGCACCUGGUUACUUGAUUACCUUGUGCAAACGUAUUUCCUGAUUAACCGUUUACGCAGAUUGUAUAAGAUAGAAUCCCGAACGUUUCAAGCAUAACUCUUGUUGGGAAUGUUCUGGAAACUCAAGAGCAUGCAAUGAAAAUAUUUAGAGCACGUCUUCUCCAUAUAGCAUUCGAAAAUAAUUAUAAAGAAUCUAAAUACACUGAAACUUACUGUGCGAUCUUGACAUAUUUUUCUGUACACGCUUGUAUGUAAAAUUUGUGUUGAUAGAAUUCGUUUGUUUCUCACAUUUUACAAUAACUAGGUGGAAGUGGGAUAGUCGAAAUAUUAAGCGAUAUCUCUUCUCUCUAU